rfam:Cajanus cajan chromosome 3, whole genome shotgun sequence.
GGAGAGAUGGCUGAGUGGUUGUUAGCCCUGGUCUUGAAAACUGGAAUAGUUCAAAACAAAUAACCAUCAAGGGCUCAAAUCCCUUGCUGGCCU